rnacentral:lncRNA from 1 species
GGAUGGAAGCCAAGAGAAAUAUGAAAAAGCCUCCAUUCUCCACUGGACUAACCCCUAGAUGCUGAAACACUCACCAGGUGGAAGAAGUUAACUAUAUAUUCACCAGACUGCGGCCGUGACACAAGCUGCCACAAUGAUGAGAAUUAGCCCCAAAGAAAUGGGAACAAACCAACCUUGGAACUGAAGACCAACUGUACUUUAAAGAAUUAAGAUGACCCUGGGCACCUCUGAUGACCAAUUUCAAGGUCAUGAAAAUAAAUGGAAAAAGAGGACAAUAAAAAACUACUCUCCUAGCGAAUAAAAGGUUAACUUUGAAAUUGCUGACUUCUGUACUGCUUCGCUAAUAUAAG